rnacentral:rRNA from 1 species
UUAAGCGACUAAGCGUACACGGUGGAUGCCCUGGCAGUCAGAGGCGAUGAAGGACGUGCUAAUCUGCGAUAAGCGUCGGUAAGGUGAUAUGAACCGUUAUAACCGGCGAUUUCCGAAUGGGGAAACCCAGUGUGAUUCGUCACACUAUCAUUAACUGAAUCCAUAGGUUAAUGAGGCGAACCGGGGGAACUGAAACAUCUAAGUACCCCGAGGAAAAGAAAUCAACCGAGAUUCCCCCAGUAGCGGCGAGCGAACGGGGAGCAGCCCAGAGCCUGAAUCAGUGUGUGUGUUAGUGGAAGCGUCUGGAAAGGCGCGCGAUACAGGGUGACAGCCCCGUACACAAAAAUGCACAUGCUGUGAGCUCGAUGAGUAGGGCGGGACACGUGGUAUCCUGUCUGAAUAUGGGGGGACCAUCCUCCAAGGCUAAAUACUCCUGACUGACCGAUAGUGAACCAGUACCGUGAGGGAAAGGCGAAAAGAACCCCGGCGAGGGGAGUGAAAAAGAACCUGAAACCGUGUACGUACAAGCAGUGGGAGCACGCUUAGGCGUGUGACUGCGUACCUUUUGUAUAAUGGGUCAGCGACUUAUAUUCUGUAGCAAGGUUAACCGAAUAGGGGAGCCGAAGGGAAACCGAGUCUUAACUGGGCGUUAAGUUGCAGGGUAUAGACCCGAAACCCGGUGAUCUAGCCAUGGGCAGGUUGAAGGUUGGGUAACACUAACUGGAGGACCGAACCGACUAAUGUUGAAAAAUUAGCGGAUGACUUGUGGCUGGGGGUGAAAGGCCAAUCAAACCGGGAGAUAGCUGGUUCUCCCCGAAAGCUAUUUAGGUAGCGCCUCGUGAAUUCAUCUCCGGGGGUAGAGCACUGUUUCGGCAAGGGGGUCAUCCUGACUUACCAACCCGAUGCAAACUGCGAAUACCGGAGAAUGUUAUCACGGGAGACACACGGCGGGUGCUAACGUCCGUCGUGAAGAGGGAAACAACCCAGACCGCCAGCUAAGGUCCCAAAGUCAUGGUUAAGUGGGAAACGAUGUGGGAAGGCCCAGACAGCCAGGAUGUUGGCUUAGAAGCAGCCAUCAUUUAAAGAAAGCGUAAUAGCUCACUGGUCGAGUCGGCCUGCGCGGAAGAUGUAACGGGGCUAAACCAUGCACCGAAGCUGCGGCAGCGACGCUGAUGCGUUGUUGGGUAGGGGAGCGUUCUGUAAGCCUGUGAAGGUGUGCUGUGAGGCAUGCUGGAGGUAUCAGAAGUGCGAAUGCUGACAUAAGUAACGAUAAAGCGGGUGAAAAGCCCGCUCGCCGGAAGACCAAGGGUUCCUGUCCAACGUUAAUCGGGGCAGGGUGAGUCGACCCCUAAGGCGAGGCCGAAAGGCGUAGUCGAUGGGAAACAGGUUAAUAUUCCUGUACUUGGUGUUACUGCGAAGGGGGGACGGAGAAGGCUAUGUUGGCCGGGCGACGGUUGUCCCGGUUUAAGCGUGUAGGCUGGUUUUCCAGGCAAAUCCGGAAAACUAAGGCUGAGGCGUGAUGACGAGGCACUACGGUGCUGAAGCAACAAAUGCCCUGCUUCCAGGAAAAGCCUCUAAGCAUCAGGUAACAUCAAAUCGUACCCCAAACCGACACAGGUGGUCAGGUAGAGAAUACCAAGGCGCUUGAGAGAACUCGGGUGAAGGAACUAGGCAAAAUGGUGCCGUAACUUCGGGAGAAGGCACGCUGAUAUGUAGGUGAAGUCCCUCGCGGAUGGAGCUGAAAUCAGUCGAAGAUACCAGCUGGCUGCAACUGUUUAUUAAAAACACAGCACUGUGCAAACACGAAAGUGGACGUAUACGGUGUGACGCCUGCCCGGUGCCGGAAGGUUAAUUGAUGGGGUUAGCGCAAGCGAAGCUCUUGAUCGAAGCCCCGGUAAACGGCGGCCGUAACUAUAACGGUCCUAAGGUAGCGAAAUUCCUUGUCGGGUAAGUUCCGACCUGCACGAAUGGCGUAAUGAUGGCCAGGCUGUCUCCACCCGAGACUCAGUGAAAUUGAACUCGCUGUGAAGAUGCAGUGUACCCGCGGCAAGACGGAAAGACCCCGUGAACCUUUACUAUAGCUUGACACUGAACAUUGAGCCUUGAUGUGUAGGAUAGGUGGGAGGCUUUGAAGUGUGGACGCCAGUCUGCAUGGAGCCGACCUUGAAAUACCACCCUUUAAUGUUUGAUGUUCUAACGUUGACCCGUAAUCCGGGUUGCGGACAGUGUCUGGUGGGUAGUUUGACUGGGGCGGUCUCCUCCUAAAGAGUAACGGAGGAGCACGAAGGUUGGCUAAUCCUGGUCGGACAUCAGGAGGUUAGUGCAAUGGCAUAAGCCAGCUUGACUGCGAGCGUGACGGCGCGAGCAGGUGCGAAAGCAGGUCAUAGUGAUCCGGUGGUUCUGAAUGGAAGGGCCAUCGCUCAACGGAUAAAAGGUACUCCGGGGAUAACAGGCUGAUACCGCCCAAGAGUUCAUAUCGACGGCGGUGUUUGGCACCUCGAUGUCGGCUCAUCACAUCCUGGGGCUGAAGUAGGUCCCAAGGGUAUGGCUGUUCGCCAUUUAAAGUGGUACGCGAGCUGGGUUUAGAACGUCGUGAGACAGUUCGGUCCCUAUCUGCCGUGGGCGCUGGAGAACUGAGGGGGGCUGCUCCUAGUACGAGAGGACCGGAGUGGACGCAUCACUGGUGUUCGGGUUGUCAUGCCAAUGGCACUGCCCGGUAGCUAAAUGCGGAAGAGAUAAGUGCUGAAAGCAUCUAAGCACGAAACUUGCCCCGAGAUGAGUUCUCCCUGACUCCUUGAGAGUCCUGAAGGAACGUUGAAGACGACGACGUUGAUAGGCCGGGUGUGUAAGCGCAGCGAUGCGUUGAGCUAACCGGUACUAAUGAACCGUGAGGCUUAACCUU